GGAAAUCUCUCCAGGCCCGGACACUGGAAGGAUUGACAGAUUGAUAGCUCUUUCUUGAUUCUGUGGGUGGUGGUGCAUGGCCGUUCUUAGUUGGUUGAGUGAUUUGUCUGGUUAAUUCCGUUAACGAACGAGACCUUAACCUGCUAAAUAGUGACGCGGUUCAUCGAACCGUGGGCCACUUCUUAGAGGGACUAUCGGAUUCAAACCGAUGGAAGUGUGAGGCAAUAA
rnacentral:rRNA from 1 species